AGAGUUUUAGUUUAAUUAAAAUGACUAAAUUGCAAUUAGUAGAUGUAGUGAAUCUGUAAGCUCUG
rnacentral:tRNA from 1 species